rnacentral:rRNA from 1 species
CCCCUAGAUGUUCUGGGCCGCACGCGCGCUACACUGAACAGUUCAACAAGUCUUAACCUCGGCCGAUAGGUCUGGGUAAUCUUUGAACGCUGUUCGUGAUUGGGAUAGACCUUUGCAAUUAUGGGUCUUCAACGAGGAAUUCCUAGUAAACGCAAGUCAUCAGCUUGCAUUGAUUACGUCCCUGCCCUUUGUACACACCGCCCGUCGCACCUACCGAUUGAAUGGUCCGGUGAAAUCUCGGGACGGCGGCUUGGUCGCUUGCGUCCGACUGCUGAAACUUGAUUAAACCAUAUCAUUUAGAGGAAGGUGAAGUCGUANCA